GGCAGACGGGUGAGUAACAUGUGGGAAUCUGCCUUGUGGUUCAGGACAACAUUGGGAAACCGAUGCUAAUACUGGAUAAGCCCUUACGGGGAAAGUUUUAAUGCCAUAAGAUGAGCCCGCAUUUGAUUAAUUAGUUGGUGAGGUAAUGGCUCACCAAGACAAUGAUCAAUAGCUGAUCUGAGAGGAUGAUCAGCCACACUGGGACUGAGACACGGCCCAGACUCCUACGGGAGGCAGCAGUGGGGAAUCUUGCACAAUGGAGGAAACUCUGAUGCAGCGAUGCCGCGUGAGUGAAGAAGGCCUUUGGGUUGUAAAGCUCUUUUGUAGGGGAAG
rnacentral:rRNA from 1 species